AUUGAACGCUGGCGGCAUGCCUUACACAUGCAAGUCGAACGGCAGCAUGGGUGCUUGCACCUGAUGGCGAGUGGCGAACGGGUGAGUAAUGCAUCGGAACGUACCCGGAAGUGGGGGAUAACGUAGCGAAAGUUACGCUAAUACCGCAUAUUCUGUGAGCAGGAAAGCGGGGGAUCGCAAGACCUCGCGCUUCCGGAGCGGCCGAUGUCGGAUUAGCUAGUUGGCGGGGUAAAGGCCCACCAAGGCAACGAUCCGUAGCGGGUCUGAGAGGAUGAUCCGCCACACUGGGACUGAGGCACGGCCCAGACUCCUACGGGAGGCAGCAGUGGGGAAUUUGU
rnacentral:rRNA from 1 species